ACCAACCCACCUUCGGGUGGUCCCCAGGUGAUUCAUAGUAACCGAACGGAUCGCAUUAUGACCUUUUGGUCGGCGAUGGAUCAUUCAAGUUUCUGACCUAUCAGCUUUCGACGGUACUGUAUUGGACUACCGUGGCAGUGACGGGUAACGGGGAAUUAGGGUUCGAUUCCGGAGAGGGAGCCUGAGAAACGGCUACCACAUCUAAGGAAGGCAGCAGGCGCGCAAAUUACCCAAUCCUGACUCAGGGAGGUAGUGACAAGAAAUAACAACACUGGAAAUUAUAUUUCUAGUGAUUGGAAUGAUGGGAAUCCAAACCCCUUUCAGAGUAACAAUUGGAGGGCAAGUCUGGUGCCAGCAGCCGCGGUAAUUCCAGCUCCAAUAGCGUAUAUUAAAGUUGUUGCAGUUAAAAAGCUCGUAGUUGGAUAUCUGCUGGAAGCAGCCAGUCCGCCCUUUGUGGGUGUGCACUUGGUGAAUUCUGGCAUCCUCCUGAUUGGUGUCAUCAUCACUUCAUUGUGUUGGUGGCAGCUGUCAGGACCGUUACUUUGAGAAAAUUAGAGUGUUUCAAGCAGGCUUGUUGCCUUGAAUACUGCAGCAUGGAAUAACAAGAUAGGAUUUCGGUUCUAUUUUGUUGGUUUCUAGGGCUGAAGUAAUGAUUAAUAGGGACAGUUGGGGGCAUUCGUAUUUAACUGUCAGAGGUGAAAUUCUUAAAUUUGU
rnacentral:rRNA from 1 species